rnacentral:lncRNA from 1 species
UAUGAAAUAUAUAACACCAUUAUUUAUUGUAGCCUAAUAAUUAUUACACUCACCAUGCUUGUAAUUUGGAUUAUUAUACCACAUAUAUCUUUCUACAACUUCCUUUGAGCCUUCAAUUAUCUUUGAUGAGCUUGCUAUUUAGGAUUUCUUCAACUUAGUCAUUUCCACCUUCAAAUCUUAUAUGUCCUUGAUAAAUUCUUGAAGAGUAUUAUCAUUGACACUCUUGAUCACUUUUUGAGGUGGCACUUAAUUUAAAAUGUAAACACUAGCUCAAGCCUUGAUAUUAAACUAUAAAUCUUAAUUUUUUAUUGUUUAGCCAAAAGCCCCACUGUCUUUUUUAUUAGCCUCUAAUUAUUGAUAAAACCACUUUCAAAUAUCUUAU